UGUUGGAGUCAUGGGAUCACACCAGCACAGCAGGUCUCCUCUCUUAAACAAACAAGCACAAGAGGCUUUACCAGAGAAAAGCAGGGGACAUGAGCCGUUCCUGACUCUCACAGGUGUACUGGAGCAGUAUAUUAAGAGACUGAGGUCUGUACCCAUAUGUAGAGUCAUCUUGCGAAGCUGACAGAGCAGCUCUGUUGUCGUGUUUUGAAGAAAAAUGUGGACUCUUACCCUUUAGAUGUCUUAAGAUCCAGCUUGGUUCUUCACGCAGGAACUCUAGGCCACAAAUAUCUCUGUUUCUCCUUUCCCUGACAGGCUCUCAUUAGUGGAAUAGAUUUCUCUUCCCUGGUUCUUUCUGUGCUACAGGACUGACCAACUCACAUAAGUAUAAUCGUAGCCACUAACGCCUCUUUUUCAGCUGACCAUGUAUGGCUUUAGGUUACUCUGACACCUUCCUGUGCUGUGAAAGAACCUGGGAUCUGCUUUACAAAAAGAACUAACAUCUUUAAGCCCAGGGAAUAUGUAGAAAGGAAUGAAAUACCAAACCAAAAUAUUG
rnacentral:lncRNA from 1 species